UACGGGGGGGGCAAGCGUUGUUCGGAAUUACUGGGCGUAAAGGGCUCGUAGGCGGCCAACUAAGUCAGACGUGAAAUCCCUCGGCUUAACCGGGGAACUGCGUCUGAUACUGGAUGGCUUGAGAUUGGGAGAGGGAUGCGGAAUUCCAGGUGUAGCGGUGAAAUGCGUAGAUAUCUGGAGGAACACCGGUGGCGAAGGCGACAUCCUGGACCAACACUGACGCUGAGGAGCGAAAGCCAGGGGAGCGAACGGG
rnacentral:rRNA from 1 species